CUAAGGUAUCUAAAAGGGAGGUAAUACAAUAUGUCAAAUUGCUAAACCCGCCAUAUUGGAUAAGCAUACGACAGCUGGCCACUUUGUUUCGAUGGAAUCAUCCAGUAAGCCAUGAAAUCUAGUCUGCUUUAUUUUCUGCACAGUUUGUUUUGUUUGGUGCACUGAAACGUCAUGGAUACUACAAUGGAAAUAAAAAAUUGUACAGAAAUCAGUUGGAAGCUUUCUAGAAUAAUUAAGUUCUUUUAUAGGGCAUCCUCAAUUGGUUUUGUCGAUCUAAUGCUUGGGAUUCCUUAAACCAUAGAAGAAGUUGCAUCGGACAGACAUAACCGGAAAAAUAGAAUGUGAGCAAGUUUCAUCGAGAAACGAUUACGAAAGUUCAAUGCCUAAACACGACCCGGCCAAUUGAAUACUAUUUGGUUUGUUCCAUUGUUUCAUCAAUAACAUUAAUUUGUUUCAACACCGUUAGUCUUAGAAUGUUUUAUCCUGUGUUAGGAUUUUUAUCCAGGCAAAUAAAUAAUGAGCUGCAACAAUGCUUUAAAUGAAUGAGUUGAAACUAUCUUUUAUUCUACACAAAAAAUUUAAUUAUAAUAAAAUUCUAUUCUGGCUCUUGAUACUUGGCGGAAUGCGUUUUAUUUUGCCAUAUUCAGGGUUGGUAACCAUCGGUUUCGUCACUGAACGAUGACGAAAAAUUGAAAAAAAUAUUCAGUGCGUAAAAGAUCGUCAUUUUCAUUGUCUUCAAUGACUGACAAGGAGACCACGACAAAACAAAACCGCAAAAAGUCCACGAUUAAUAUUUUUCGUCACUCCUCCCGUUACCCCAACGCACUGAACCAACAUAAGCUUCUAAUCGUCGCCGAGCUCACAAUUGCGGACAAAGAGAGUCUGAGCUACGAACUACUAGUCAACAAGGUGUCUUGUGUUAGAAAUUGAGCAAGCACAUUUUCACGAAGAUCAUAAGAAUGUUUUGGAAGACUCCAUUUUUUGCUGCAGCUUCCGAAACACCUAAAUUUUUGCCGCUAUAUAUUUUUAUUAUGAAUAUUCACCGUUGCUUUACCAUAGUUUUUUGAAGCGAAACUGCCUUGGUGUUGUAACGAACUCACGCCUCUAAGCACGAAACCAUAUCGGAGUGCAUCGGCGGAAUCUACCCCACGCUGGCCGAGUCACUGAGAACAUUCAACCCGAAGGAUGGUUCCAUGGCGGCCGCAAAUGGUUUUAGGAAAACGAUCUAUAAUUACGAAGUUAUCCACGCCACUGACAUUCCGGCCGCUUUUCAAGACAUGGGGCCAACCUGAACUGGAAGGUCAUCGAUGCGUACGCCUACCUGAUUCGGAUUGAAAUCCCCCAGCAGCUGGGCGAAAAACCAAUGCUAGCUGACCCGUUCCCUGUCCAUCGAGAAUGACGGCAUAAAUAUCCAGAGCAUCGCCGUUGGUCAAGCCGUAGCUGUCCAGGUAAUGAGGUUCGAUCCCAACCAACGAAUAUUGCUCGACCGAUCUCUUCAGCAGGAAAUCAGCUAUUAUUCACCGAAGAACAUACUUGCUGGCGGCAACAUCGAUAUAGUUAUAAUUAACGAUGUAAUUACAUAUCUACACCUGAGGAAUUAAAAUAAAACACCAAAAUCGCUGUUUCUUUUUGCAUUGUUGACAAAAAUCAAUCUACCAUAUCAAGCAUAAUUCUUCAAUACGACGUAUCUGCAAAAAUAAACAAAUCGAGAUUUGCUUUCCAUGGGCUUGACAAACGCAUAAUCUACGUACUGAGUCUAUAAAUGUAUUCCUACAACCAUUUUUUUGAUUU
rnacentral:lncRNA from 1 species